rnacentral:rRNA from 1 species
UAGUCCACGCCCUAAACGAUGUAUGCUCGGCGUUCGGCCUAUAUGGCGGGGCGCCCAAGGGAAACCGAUAAGCAUACCACCUGGGGAGUACGUUCGCAAGAAUGAAACUCAAAGGAAUUGACGGGGUCCGCACAAGCGGUGGAGCAUGUGGUUUAAUUCGAUGAUACGCGAGGAACCUUACCAGGGCUUAAAUGUAGUUUGACAGACUAGGAAACUAGUCCUUCUUCGGACAAAUUACAAGGUGCUGCAUGGUUGUCGUCAGCUCGUGCCGUGAGGUGUCGGGUUAAGUCCCAUAACGAGCGCAACCCCUAUUCUUAGUUGCCAGCGAGUAAUGUCGGGGACUCUAAGAAAACUGCCCGUGCAAACGGUGAGGAAGGUGGGGAUGACGUCAAAUCAUCACGGGCCCUUACGUCCUGGGGCUACACACGUGCUACAAUGGUUGGUAUAGAGAGUCGCUAUCUGGGUGACAGAACGCUAAUCUCAAAAAACCAUCUCAGUUCGGGAUUGAAGUCUGCAA